rnacentral:misc_RNA from 1 species
GGAAGUAGAAGUCGUAACAAGGUCUCCGUUGGUGAACCAGCGGAGGGAUCAUUACAGGACUCGCAAGACUCCUACAACCCUGUGAACUUAACUAUAAGCACGUUGCUUCGGCGGGUGUCUCGGAGGGGGUUCUCCCUCCCCGAGACGCUAAACCCGCCGGCAGCCUACUAUACUCUGUCUCUUUGCGUUGGCAUCUCGAGUACAAUCAAACAAGUUAAAACUUUCAACAACGGAUCUCUUGGUUCUG